AUCUUCAUUAAGGAUAUAUCAAGACUUUCCAAAAGUGUUUAAAAAGGACUUUAUGUGAUAGGAUAAGUCAUCCAGCUAUUUCAUUAAGUUUGUCUUAUCCUUAAAACUCCUGAUCAGAUCAGAUCUUCAAUAUGCGUGCUCUUAAGUGGAUUUCCAUAUAUAGCAGAUGCUCUCAUAAAUGCGCGAGAUUUCCUUCAGCAAAAAGGAUAUUGUAACAUGUUUUCCAACAUCUUGUUAGUAUAUUUGUUUUAGCAAAAUUA
rnacentral:lncRNA from 1 species